CUAAGCCAAGUUCAGUUCAUGUAAACAUCCUACACUCAGCUGUCAUACAUGAGUUGGCUGGGAUGUGGAUGUUUACGUCAGCUGUCUUGGAGUAU
ensembl:miRNA Mir30b microRNA 30b